UACGGAGGGAGCUAGCGUUGUUCGGAAUUACUGGGCGUAAAGCGCGUGUAGGCGGCUUUGUAAGUUAGAGGUGAAAUCCCGAGGCUCAACCUCGGAACUGCCUUCGAUACUGGCGAUCUUCGAGUCCGGGAGAGGUGAGUGGAACUCCGAGUGUAGAGGUGAAAUUCGUAGAUAUUCGGAAGAACACCAGUGGCGAAGGCGGCUCACUGGCCCGGUACUGACGCUGAAAUACGAAAGCGUGGGGAGCAAACAGG
rnacentral:rRNA from 1 species